CGGCUCUGCAGGUCCUGAAGCUCCGGUCGUCUUCAACGUCGUCGUGGAGAUCACCAAGGAGAGCAAGGUGAAGUACGAGCUGGACAAGAAGACGGGGCUCAUCAAGGUGGACCGGAUCCUCUACUCGUGCGGUCGUGCCUCACCCAGUCACCUCUACUCGUGACAGGUAAGUAUAGCAGUAUAGAUUAGUAUGGAUUAGUUCUCAUGCUAGUAGUUCUUAGGGUCCCUUUAACGUUUUGCAUUUUUCAGAAUAUUAGGGUGAAGUGAAAUGUCGACUCCAAGUACUAGUAGUUCUCAUGCUCCUACAACCGGAGCAGCUAUUGGAUCUCAAGUGGAAACAGAAGCAGCAGCGGGUCCUCGAACCCGUGCACGUGCAGCAGCAGCAGCGCCUCCAUCUGAUUUAGCAACUGCAGCAGGUGAUGUGUUAGAAUUAGAUGAUGAUGUUGCUGUUGGUAGUAAGAGGAAACCAGGACCAAAAUUAAAAUCUAAAGUUUGGUUAGAGUUUGAUAGAAUUGAGUUAAAUGGGGUUUGGAAAGCAAAAUGCAAAUGGUGUAAGAAGCAUCUAGGAGGGGACACAAGAAAUGGUACAAGUCACUUGAGUGGCCAUCUUGAGAUUUGUCCAGAUAGGGCUGUUAGAAAAGGUAUAAAAUAGUCGUCUCUUAAAUUGACUGCAAAUCCACAUGAUGGGACUGUGAUUUUGGAGAAAUAUGUUUUUGAUCAAGAAAUAGCUAGAAAAGAGCUUGCAUUAAUGACUAUUAUCCAUGAGUACCCUUUGUCUAUGGUGGACCAUGUUGGAUUUCGCAAGUUUUGUGCAGCAUUGCAACCAUUAUUCAAAGUAGUGUCUAGGAAUACACUUAGGAAGGAUAUCCUUGAUAUGUAUGAAGUGCAAAAACAAUCCAUGUUGAAGUAUUUUCGGAAGUUGAGUUCUCGAGUUGCUAUUACUUCUGAUUUAUGGACAGCAAACCACCAAAAGAAAGGCUACAUGGCCGUGACAGCACACUUUAUAGAUGAUGAUUGGAAGCUAAAGAGUUUUCUUAUUAGGUUCCUAUAUGUUCCAGCUCCACAUACAGCUGAGGUUAUUGCUGAUCUUCUUCAUGAUGUUCUCCUUGACUGGCAUAUCGAGAGGAAUUUGUCUACUAUAACUCUUGAUAAUUGUAGCACAAAUGAUAGUGUUAUGAGAAAUAUGGUUGGGACCUCCAAUGAGAACCUCAGACAAAUGAUGGAUGCUUGCACCGUAGUAAGCUUGCACCGUCAAUGGUGGAAGCACUCAUGUGUAUGCAGGCUUGGUCCCGUGCUGACAUGUUAGGGUCUCCAACUAUGAUGGGUGUUUUGAUGACUUGUCUUGAUGAACAAGAUGAAGAGAUGGAUGAACAUGAAUCAACAAUUGUUGAUUAACCAUUUGAGAUGAACCUGCUUGCUGGCUGCUGCUACAAACUGCUUGCUGUCUGUUGGGUGCUGCUAGCCUGCUACAAACUGUUUGCUAAUUGCUAUAGACUAUCAUGUACUCAUGUUGUAAGAGACAUAUAUGUAUGUUGUAUGAAGUAUGCAAAUGACUAAAUGUAAUAUGUAUGCUGCUACAAACUGUUUGAUGCUACAAACUGUUUGCUAUUGACUAUCAUGUUGGCCUUGUUUACUUGCUAUUGACUAAAUGUAAUAUGUAUGAUGUAGCCUUUCA